rnacentral:rRNA from 1 species
AGAGUUUGAUCCUGGCUCAGGAUGAACGCUAGCGGCAGGCUUAAUACAUGCAAGUCGAGGGGCAGCGGAGGUAGCAAUACUUGCCGGCGACCGGCGCACGGGUGCGUAACGCGUAUGCAACUUACCUACUACUGGGUAAUAGCCUUCCGAAAGGAAGAUUAAUAACCCAUAGCAUUGAAGAUAGGCAUCUAUUUUCAAUUAAAGCUCCGGCGGUAGUAGAUGGGCAUGCGUGACAUUAGCUAGUUGGUGAGGUAAAGGCUUACCAAGGCUUCGAUGUCUAGGGGAUCUGAGAGGAUUAUCCCCCACACUGGUACUGAGACACGGACCAGACUCCUACGGGAGGCAGCAGUAAGGAAUAUUGGUCAAUGGAGGCAACUCUGAACCAGCCAUGCCGCGUGCAGGAUGAACGCCCUACGGGUUGUAAACUGCUUUUGUAUGGGAAAAAACCCUCGAACGUGUUCGAGGCUGAUGGUACCGUAAGAAUAAGGAUCGGCUAACUCCGUGCCAGCAGCCGCGGUAAUAC